GACGAACGCUGGCGGCGUGCUUAACACAUGCAAGUCGAACGGAAAGGCCCUGCUUUUGUGGGGUGCUCGAGUGGCGAACGGGUGAGUAACACGUGAGUAACCUGCCCUUGACUUUGGGAUAACUUCAGGAAACUGGGGCUAAUACCGGAUAGGAGCUCCUGCUGCAUGGUGGGGGUUGGAAAGUUUCGGCGGUUGGGGAUGGACUCGCGGCUUAUCAGCUUGUUGGUGGGGUAGUGGCUUACCAAGGCUUUGACGGGUAGCCGGCCUGAGAGGGUGACCGGCCACAUUGGGACUGAGAUACGGCCCAUACUCCUACGGGAGGCAGCAGAGGGGAAUAUUGCACAAUGGGCGGAAGCCUGAUGCAGCAACGCCGCGUGCGGGAUGACGGCCUUCGGGUUGUAAACCGCUUUCGCCUGUGACGAAGCGUGAGUGACGGUAAUGGGUAAAGAAGCACCGGCUAACUACGUG
rnacentral:rRNA from 1 species